UACGAAGGGUGCUAGCGUUGCUCGGAAUUACUGGGCGUAAAGGGAGCGUAGGCGGAUAGUUAAGUUGGGGGUGAAAGCCCGGGGCUCAACCUCGGAAUUGCCUUCAAUACUGGCUAUCUAGAGUAUGGGAGAGGUGUGUGGAAUUCCGGGUGGAGUGGUGAAAUGCGUAGAGAUCCGGAGGAACACCAAAGGCGAAGGCAGUGUCCUGGGGAGUAACUGACGCUGAGGUGCGAAAGCCAGGGGAGCGAACGGG
rnacentral:rRNA from 1 species